UGGGGAAUCUUGCACAAUGGGGGCAACCCUGAUGCAGCGACGCCGCGUGAGCGAUGAAGCCCUUCGGGGUGUAAAGCUCUUUCGACGGGAACGAUAAUGACGGUACCCGGAGAAGAAGCUGCGGCUAACUACGUGCCAGCAGCCGCGGUAAUACGUAGGCAGCAAGCGUUGUUCGGAGUUACUGGGCGUAAAGAGUGCGUAGGCGGUUUCGCAAGUUUGGUGUGAAAUCUCCCGGCUUAACUGGGAGGGUGCGCCGAAAACUGCGGGGCUGGAGUGGGGGAGAGGUAAGCGGAAUUCCUGGUGUAGCGGUGAAAUGCGUAGAUAUCAGGAGGAACACCGGCGGUGUAGACGGCUUACUGGACCCUGACUGACGCUGAGGCACGAAAGCGUGGGGAGCAAACAG
rnacentral:rRNA from 1 species